CCUCACUCNGUCGUGAUUACCCGCUGAAUUUAAGCAUAUAACUAAGCGGANGAAAAGAAACUAACGAGGAUUUCCCUAGUAACGGCGAGUGAAAAGGAAAGAGCCCAGCGCUGAAUCUAUCUUGCUGCUAGUGAGAUGGAAAUGUAGCGUAUAGGUGGAACUAUCCGUCGAUUUCCUACACCCAAAGUCCCCUUGAGCGGGGCUACAGUCCAUAGAAGGUGCUAGACCUGUACGGGUGAGGAAAGCGUAUGCGGUAGGUUCUACCUUGGAGUCGGGUUGUUUGAGAUUGCAGCCCAAAGAGGGUGGUAAACCUCAUCUAAGGCUAAAUACGGCCACGAGACCGAUAGCAAACAAGUACCGUGAGGGAAAGUUGCAAAGAACUUUGAAGAGAGAGUUCAAGAGGGCGUGAAACCGCUGGGAUGGAAACGGAUAGAGUUAACGAAACUUGCCGAUAUUCAACCGAUCACCUCGGCAAUCCCGUAACUUUGCACCUUCGAGAGGCUGCGGUGAGAACCGUUCUCCAAUCUCGGGAGGGCAAAGACGUGGGCGAAGGGUGCCGGGUUGAUUGGUGUAUUUAUCGGUGGUAUGCACCGAGAGUCUCGUCUGCUGCGCGUAUUAGGCAUUCGUUCAGUGGACCCCGGCAAUGAUUGUCAGGGAAACCUGGAUGAGUGUGUGAAAAUAUAUGUCGUCGAUGAGAUGUUUGGAACCCGUGCAAGCACCGGUAGUGGCUUCUGCCAUCCGGGCGCAUCCGUUACCACUUGACCGGUGACAUUUUGUUGUGGUCGCGUGCGACCUACGCUGAAUAGAGCAUCGGUGCGUGUUGAAGUGGUAGCAGCAAGAUGCUGGGGUUUGCAUCUCGGUGUGAACGUUAAUCACCUAUCUGACCCGUCUUGAAACACGGACCAAGGAGUCUAGCAUAUGCGCAAGUUAUUGGGUGCCUAAACCCGCUGUUAGAAGCGUAAUGAAAGUGAAGAUUGAUCAUUACGAUAUCAAUUGAUAUGUGAUCCAGGUGUAGAGAUGCGCUUGGCGCAACAUAGCCCCGUCCUUAUUGCAUGCAAUGGGGCGGAGGUAGAGCGUAUAUGCUGGGACCCGAAAGAUGGUGAACUAUACCUGAGCAGGAUGAAGCCAGAG
rnacentral:rRNA from 1 species